rnacentral:rRNA from 1 species
UACGAAGGGGGCUAGCGUUGCUCGGAAUCACUGGGCGUAAAGCGCACGUAGGCGGCUUUUUAAGUCAGGGGUGAAAUCCUGGAGCUCAACUCCAGAACUGCCUUUGAUACUGAGAAGCUUGAGUCCGGGAGAGGUGAGUGGAACUGCGAGUGUAGAGGUGAAAUUCGUAGAUAUUCGCAAGAACACCAGUGGCGAAGGCGGCUUACUGGCCCGGUACUGACGCUGAGGUGCGAAAGCGUGGGGAGCAAACAGG